GGGGAUUUAGCUCAGUGGCAGAGCGCUUGCCUAGCAAGCGCAAGGCCCUGGGUUCAGUCCCCA
rfam:Rattus norvegicus chromosome 18, whole genome shotgun sequence.